rnacentral:misc_RNA from 1 species
AUCAUGAUUAAGCUAUUGGGUUAGUCGUAGCUAGAUCUAGAUCUCUUCGUUGUGGGCACUUCUGGGUUCAUGAAAAAUGACAUAACAUCGAUCAGCUGUGUUUCCUUAUCUCCAUUCUAAAUUAUAAUGUUUGUUCUUAUUGCUGAUACCACAAAAAUUUGUCAGCAAGCAUCGAAUAAGACUCAUCGACAAGCAAAACGUGAUGAGAGCGACCCAACAAAGGGUGAUCUGGUUUCCAAUUUCUUGAGCUUUCUCGUUGGGAAUUUAAUUACAAGGGUAAGAUAUAACAGUGGAAGGUUCUCGUUGAAGUUGAAGAUGCAUGGGAUGGGAGAAUCGUGAUGAACACAAGACACGCUAUAUUGUUACAGCAUGUAUGACAAAAAUUGCCAUCAUCUCGUGAUGAUUGAUGGGUGUUAACUUACGUACAAACAUUUUGUGUGUAUCAGUGCUCAGCAUAUAUAGCUACAUAGAGAGGGAGGGAAGGAGGGGACCUAGAACCUAGGUUUUAUGUAUAUGUCCAUUUCAAAAAUCUAACUUGCG